GCGCUGCUGGCGGAGCCUGGCCGUCCGGGCCCUGCGGGCGGCCUCGGCGGAGCGGGACGGCGCCGCGUCCUCGUCCUGCUCGGGGCUGGUGCGC
rnacentral:tRNA from 1 species